AGUGGGGAAUAUUGGACAAUGGGCGCAAGCCUGAUCCAGCAAUGCCGCGUGAGUGAUGAAGGCCUUAGGGUUGUAAAGCUCUUUUACCCGGGAUGAUAAUGACAGUACCGGGAGAAUAAGCUCCGGCUAACUCCGUGCCAGCAGCCGCGGUAAUACGGAGGGAGCUAGCGUUGUUCGGAAUUACUGGGCGUAAAGCGCGCGUAGGCGGCUGCUCAAGUCAGAGGUGAAAGCCCGGGGCUCAACCCCGGAACUGCCUUUGAAACUAGGUAGCUAGAAUCUUGGAGAGGUCAGUGGAAUUCCGAGUGUAGAGGUGAAAUUCGUAGAUAUUCGGAAGAACACCAGUGGCGAAGGCGACUGACUGGACAAGUAUUGACGCUGAGGUGCGAAAGCGUGGGGAGCAAA
rnacentral:rRNA from 1 species